rnacentral:lncRNA from 10 species
ACCAUUCAGCCUGAUCCGGAAGGAAGGCCAUGAUUUCAGCUCUCUGGGAUUUGAGACAAAGAGGCCCCUUUUCUUUCAUUUUAUCUUUUCAUGUCUCUUCUUGCCAUGUACCCACAUGAUUGAGUGUGGGCUGAGGGUGAAUCCAAGAAGGGCUUUGUUUUGUGGUCAGUACAGGCUUUGGUCCACAGAGACAACAAUACUUUCAAUACUCUUUUGUUCUGCCCCAGAGGAGCUCAACACAGAAUUGCCUAGAACAAGAAACUGGUGAGAGAAGCUGCAGCCUGUUGAGACUCCACAAGACUGAAGAUAUGAAAAGAGGAAAUAUGCAUGAAUGCCCGCACGGAGAACCACCCCCACCUGCUGCUCCCGCUCUAAUGAUCACGCCCAUUAUCAACUGGGGGAUGGCUCUGUGCCUUGUCCUUGCAUUACAUGGACCAAGAACACUUCACAGGACUCAGAGAGGCAAAAAUAGAUACAAAAGAAGAAGGAAUUACAGAAGAAGUCACAUAACAUUAUUGCCUACAACUGACUGUUUACCUUGAAUACUUGAAGACCAGAAUGAAGAUUCUUGGGGUGAAGAAUUACAGCCUUAGCAUGGAGCAGGCCUCGGUGCAUCGGCUUUCAGCUAGGCAUGCCUGCCAAUGUUCAACGUCCUCCUGGGAUACGGAAGGCACCGUGAUAGACAUCUGGGCAAGUCAACAGGAAGGUGGAUAUCCAAAUCUCUCUCUUCGCAAUGAGUUUCCAGUUAGAUGGAGGAGAGAGUAAUAAAACACAUAACACUGAAGAAUGCAGUUUACUUACAUCUUUUUCUGUUUGACAGAAGACAGUUAUUAGUUACCCUUGGGACAUCAAAAUGACCAAGGCAGUGUCUGCUAAGUAUUUGCUGAGACUCUGCUAUGAUUCUUUCAAGUCUAAAGACAGUUAUCUGAAUGAUAUCCCCGUGACAGUGGACUCCUGCACAUUCACAGUCCUGGAAGGAGCCUGUCCACAUUGGCAUUCUGGAAGUCCAUAAAAGACAAACGCAUAUGCAGUCCCCGAGAAAGCAUUGUUGUAAACAAAUCUGCACUAGAUGGAAACUCUGUUAUGUGGUGCCGGCAUGCAUGGAAGAGAACCCGAAAGGAAGAAGCUAUACGACUGGGGACACAUGUCUUAGAAGCACACUCAUUAGAUAAAGUGUCGCAUACUCUUUGAUAAGAGGUUGCUGAAGUCAAAAGCAGCUCACUCCCAGUUCACUGAGCUUGAGUUCCGGCUGCAACUUGGCCUUGAGAUUUUUGAAACGUUGAUAUGGAAGAUAAAGAAAAACGCAGAUUCCUGUCUUCUAAGGAACAAAGGCUGGAAGACAGUUCUGCAGAUUCUGCCUUUGAGGGAUUAGAGGGAUGUGCCCAGGACCAGAUCUUCAGUUAUGCAAAUAUACCUUAGAGACCACAGUAAGAAAGACAUCGCUCUGAAAUGCUCUGGUCCCAAGGAAAAUAUUGCUCUAUAUAAUAAUGGAAAACGUUGUCUGUGUAUCAUGCUGAGCUGCAUUUUAUUUUGUACCCUUGAGAGAGCUUUUAUUUUCUUAUAAAUAAGGAUUGGUCUUGUUCUGGGUCUGAAAACUGUUGUGUAUUUUUGAGAUGUCUAUUUUUCUUUUCAGUUGCCUGUAAGAGAUUGGGAGCCGAGGGCCUGAGGGUGAAGCCUCGUUUGUGCAGGUGACUGUGGGACUCUGGUGUAAGUAACGCUGGGCCCACCCUGGUAAUGAAGGAAGACCCAGGCCCAGGCAGGGGCGGUGUCACAGGCACAGGGGCUCGCACCCUGGGCACUGACGGUGGCUGUCGCACCAGGGCCGCUCCUUGCAGAAACCUCACUGAGCCUGUGCCUGUUGAGUAGCUUCAUGAGGAGCGGAUAUCAGGCAGAGAAAGCCCGGGCAAGAGAGUGACACACGGGGCUUCUGCCCAGAACACGUGCGCCCACAAUCCCGGGAGCUGUACAAAUCCCAAGCGGGGAAGCGGAGGCCUCGACAGUUCAUGAUGCGGACAUGAAUGGGAAUGCGGCCGCUUGCCACACCUCCUUCUUCAUUUGGGGAAAUGCUUGAAGGUUUGUUUUGUGAAUGCUAGGUUAAGGUUUGGAAGUUUAUUUUAAAAAUUGACAUCAUGGCCGGGCGCGGUGGCUCACGCCUGUGAUCCCAGCACUUUGGGAGGCCGAGGCGGGCGGAUCACGAGGUCAGGAGAUCGAGA